CACACCGCAAGAGACACACUGUGGUUCUCUCUGGAAGAGCAGCUGAGUAGCAGGAGCAUAAGCACAGCAAGAGAAAAGCAGCCCCGAGGAGAUUAUUCUUUUAUACAGGUGUCACUACAUCUACAGAUAAUGGCGUUGAAGGGAAUACAGAAAACCAGCCAACAGAGUGGAAAAGCUUGCGCCUGGGUCACAGCGUUUAUCCAGAAGGGAAAGCUGACUACCUAGCUUUUUUUCUGGGAUGAAAAUAUUUUUCACAAAUUGUGGUUUUCACACAGAAGACUCAAAACUUGACUCAAACAGAAAAAUAAACUUGUAGCCACCAUUGAAAGCUGAAGCUGAAAAGACUCCAUGUUUGGAAAACUUGUUUUCUGAAUGAAGCCAACUAAAAAUCAAGAACUUCUUAAAAUCAUACUGUCAGCUCAAGACUUAUAAAAUGUGCCUGCCUCUUAAAUAUCAACAUAAUUUAGUGUAAAUAAAAGACAGCAUACAGAUAUGGUUCACAAGCAUCUUCAACAGCAGUGACUUUGGGUUGUCUUCAGUAAAGCACCAGAAAUAAUGUUGUCAAAAGUGAUGCUUGGUGUCAUCCUGUCCCUCCUCAUCCUUCUGACUGUGGGUGGUAAUGUGCUGGUGUGUCUAGCUGUCUGCGCCUCACGACGCCUCCGCUGCCUCACUAACUGCUUCAUUGUGUCACUGGCGGUGACAGACCUCCUGCUCGGUCUCUUGGUCCUCCCAUUCUCUGCUCUCCUCCAGCUCAGCAGCGAGUGGCCGCUUGGCCCAGUCUUCUGCAACUUCUAUAUCUCCAUGGAUGUCAUGCUGUGCACGGCCUCCAUUCUAACGCUGCUCGCCAUAAGUGUGGACCGCUACAUGGCAGUGACUAUGCCUCUGAGAUAUGCUUCUCUAGUGUUACCAUGUAGAGUUGCUGUAGCCUUAGUUAGUGUCUGGACGGUGUCAGUGGCUGUGUCUUUUUUGCCAAUACAAAUGGGAUGGAACACUGUUAAUGGAACAGUGCAGAAUCACGGGCCCUGGGCUUCUAAGGGGAAAUGUCGUUUUGAGUUAAACAGGCCUUAUGUACUGACAGACUCUCUUCUUACCUUUUAUCUGCCUCUGUUGGCUAUGUGCUGGACAUACCUUAAGAUACUUCAGAUAGCUCGUGCACAGGCCAAGCGUAUUAUCAGGACCCGACCUAUUCGCAUCACCACUUACAAUUGCAAGAACAGCCCUUCCACAAAGAUGACUCUGGUUUCUGGAGUUACAGCUGUGGCGCUAAAAGACCACAAAGCAACACUGACAUUGGCGGCAGUGAUUGGGGCUUUUGUUGUCUGUUGGUUGCCUUAUUUCAUAUUGUUCACAGUGCUGGGUCUAAAGGAGCAUACAGACCCUGCCAUAGUACCAGAAUUCUCUAUUGUUUUGUGGUUGGGAUACGCAAACUCAGCCCUGAAUCCUGUAAUCUAUGGAGCCCUCAACAGGGACUUCAGGUCAGCUUACGCCCAACUACUGAGAUGUCGUUUCUCUACUUACAGUGGCUGGAAAAGUCAGCAAUCAUCUCCCACUUUUACGGCAGCAAGAAAGCAGCUAACAGAGGUGACACUACUAUGUAAUCAGACCAAUACCACCAGUGCUGUAGCAAUAACAACUCAAAACCUCAAUCUUCAAGACCUCAACACUGAUGGAACUGCUCCAGCCACUCACUCUACAAAUGACACAGCUACCACAUAUGUCAGUGGCCACCAGGGUGAUUCAGGUCUGUGCUGAGCAUCUGCUCACUGUACACCCCUGAUCCAGUAUUAAUCAGUCUGCAGGAAACAGGCAACACAAAUGGACGGAGAUGUUACAACCCCCAGCAUAGUCUUUGCCACUGCAUAACCAACCAUAAUGCCACAUCUAAUACUGAGCAAAGAAAAGAGAACCCAAGACCUCAACAACCCAGGACCUCAUCAGUAAGAAUCAAUGUGCCCUCACAGCAGGAUGUCAUAUGAAAAGUACUGAAGCUUUGCAAGAAUACAUGACACCAGCCAAUUAGUUUGCAGAUAACAACAUCGAUGGAUCGUUAAUUUGUGGGAAAUUUUUUAUCCUGACGCCAGACUGCACUCCAGUGGAAAUAUGAAGUACGACAUCUCCAGCUUCAAAAGAACAUUGCAUGCAUGUUCUCUUACAGUAAUCAAAUAAGAGAGGGAAAGUCAUGAACAGAUUUCUUGAGUGAAUGGGCCUAUGAGUUGAAUCUGCAGCACACAAUGUAAUAUUAUGUUUGUUUUGGAAAAAAUAUAUACUAUCCGUCCCUGCCUCAUUCUUGUUAAUGCUGUUGCAUGCGUUUGACAAAUGUAUGUAUCACACUGAUAUAUAAACACUACCAGUGACUUUUAAUACACUGUAUGUGGUGUUUACAUUAAAAAAGUAAUAAAAAAGUGUGUUCAUGCCAAUAAAUACAUUCUACAAUACUGUUUUUGGCGGCAAUACAUGUUUGCUGAACAUAUGUGCAUGUGUGUUUGAGAACAUGAA